rnacentral:rRNA from 1 species
AUUGAACGCUGGCGGCAGGCCUAACACAUGCAAGUCGAACGGUAACAGGAAGAAGCUUGCUUCUUUGCUGACGAGUGGCGGACGGGUGAAUAAUGUCUGGGAAACUGCCUGAUGGAGGGGGAUAACUACUGGAAACGGUAGCUAAUACCGCAUAACGUCGCAAGACCAAAGAGGGGGACCUUCGGGCCUCUUGCCAUCGGAUGUGCCCAGAUGGGAUUAGCUAGUAGGUGGGGUAACGGCUCACCUAGGCGACGAUCCCUAGCUGGUCUGAGAGGAUGACCAGCCACACUGGAACUGAGACACGGUCCAGACUCCUACGGGAGGCAGCAGUGGGGAAUAUUGCACAAUGGGCGCAAGCCUGAUGCAGCCAUGCCGCGUGUAUGAAGAAGGCCUUCGGGUUGUAAAGUACUUUCAGCGGGGAGGAGGGGAGUAAAGUUAAUACCUUGGCUCAUUGACGUUACCCGCAGAAGAAGCACCGGCUAACUCCGUG